GGGGCAAUAGCUCAGUUGGUUAGAGCAACGGACUCAUAAUCCGUGGGUCCUAGGUUCAAGUCCUAGUUGCCCCA
rnacentral:tRNA from 2 species